GGCAUCUGUAGUUGCGCCUUUCACGGGACGGGGGCACUCUGACUGAACAUCAGGUACCAUUAGAGCAUCAGUGAAGAGAAGAUGUUCGCAACAGAUGUGUGAGACUUCUGGGGGCUGAAUGUUCAGGUCGUGUUUUUGUGGGGAAGGGGACCUUUCAGUUCACACGCUGCAGUGAACGAUGUCAGUUACACCUGUGUGAGCACAGGACCGGACCGCCACCCGAAACACAGUCAUGCCGUGGUCAUUCCGAAUAACCCGAGGGAACCUGAAGUGCCCACGGCAGGUUGUCUGCACAAUCAGAUCAGGAAGCUGUGGCAGAACUGGACUCCCACCUGAGGCCCAGCUGCGAAGCAGCGGAGGACAGCCUGCUUCACUGUGCUGCGGUGUCCCCGUGUUGUUUAUGGAUAUCCUGACAAGCAGAAUGGAAGCAACCUUAAAGCUCUUCAGAUGAUGGUGAUCCAUUGGCUGAGGAUGGACAUGUGAUGAAGGUAACGACACAAGGAGAUGCAAUAUUUUAAUUGUUGCACCUGCUCAUUGAAUCAUCCUGCAGUUUUGUUCAGCAUGUGCUCUCAGGUAAUAUAUUGAGGAUCUCACUAAGUACAUAAAAUGGGAGAAGAUAUUGCUGUUAAUUGUUGUUAAAUUUACAGGUCUAAGAGCGUCUUCAGCUACUGUUCAGUGCAGCAGAGCUGACUGAACCUUGCAGACCAAGUCUCCACAGAAAUAAUACAAAGGGCAUAAGCAAGCUGCUAAGCACUAUUGUUACCCUAAAACCAAGAUUCUACAUAAAAUAAAUUUAAACAGUCACUUGUAAAAUUUCUGUUUUCUUUAUCUGAUCAUUUUCAUCAAAAAUGUCCUCCUAUGGUACUUGUGAUCAAAGACUUAGAAUUGACAAAGUAAUAUCCCUAUUCAUUUUACUCAAACCCUAGCAACUAAUCAAACCUAGCUAUAUUAAACCAACAUUUAUAAAGGAUACAUAUUCAAAAAGCAUUUGCAGUUCUCUAUUUCAGUUACCCUGUUAUCAGUGAACAGAGCAUGCAAGAAGAUGCGCAUUCAUCACCUUUCAUGUUGAAAAUUAGAACGACAUUCAGUGUCACACUUUUGUUCCCUCAGACCUGAUCAACUUGGCAGCCGAAACUGGGAUAUGAAUAAUCUGACUUCUGUUAAUCUUGAAAUAGCUAGCCAUAUGUCAGAGUGUAGCCCGAUUGCAAACCGUACUGCAUAUUUACCUCAUUAACAAAACACACACACACAAUGUUUUUGCUGGCUACAGUGUGGGAAUGACCCUCAGCUGCUGUAGAUUCUGAGCCAGUUUGUAGAGUGAGCCUUUGCCAAAUCUUCCAGCCAGGCCCAAACGGCAGCCGAAGCCACUUACCUGCUUGUCCUGCAGAGAAGGUAUGAAGGGGCUCCCGACUGGUACUUUAAAGUCCUAAGUGUGGAUUGGACAAGAGUCCAAGCCCUGCAGGUAUACUAUGACAAUAAGUGGUGUUUGGAUCUUCUUAAAUACCACAACUUUGUCAUCUUUGCAUGGUCAAAACCUGAGCAGUAAAAGUUUUAUCUUUCUAGAGUUUGUGUGUAUAUGUAUCUAUGCACAAUGUGUGCAAUAGCAUGUAUAUACAGAAUUAAUAUUGUAAUGUAUUGCAUCUGGUUUUUCUUAACAGUCAAAUUCUUACAGACAGAUUUGACUUCCUUGAACUGAGGUGAUUUUAUUUGUUAACUCUCUAGCUCCCCCCAGAGGCAGUUUGACCCUCCCUUUGAAUAAUGCCGUAGGUAUAAUCUGGUGCCAGCUGUUGGAUGUGCUAUUGGUGCAAGCUGAGCAGCAGCUGGAGUUUUUCACUGGAAUACAGAAUCCUAUUAGCCCAUGCGUGGUCAGGCCCCACCUCUGUCUUGCAGAUGUGGACAAUUUUACCCACAGUGGUUGCGAAGUUUUGCUUUAUCUCUCUACUUGUUUCAUUGCUUAAUUAAUUGGCAUGAUUAAUCCUGCUGCAUUAUCCCCACCUGGGGCACCACAUGUAGAUCAAUACCAAACUGGAAGGUAACAAAAAAAAGAGAUCCAGUGUCGCUCUUGCUAUAAAUGCAGGUCUCUACCCCUAGUCUUUUAAGUCCUAUAAGUAAAAGUCAAGUCAGACAUAUUAAGGUGAGCCUUAAAAUCUCUCUCACUUCCUAUUGGCCAGGAGAUCACCUUUCUGCAAGCCUUGAUUGACCUUCUGAAACAGUCCAGGAAGCUUCACUUCUCCGCACUUCACGGCCCAUAGGGUUGAGUAUUCUGAGAAAUUCAACCCCACCUUCCUCUUAGAAGUGGUUAAGAUGAACUUGUCCCUCUGCCAGAUUCCUCAGUAAGAGCUUCCCCCAGUCUCAUGGCAGCUGCCUUCCUCAUGGCCAAGGUGAAGUUCCUCUCAGGCUAGAUCUGAGAAGAUGCUGAGAUGGUUUAAAUGCUGGAU